rnacentral:lncRNA from 1 species
UUAGUGUGCAAAAUGUCUUUCUCAAUAUUGAAAAUCCAUACGAGUACAUGGACAAUUACACAUACCCAUGUGGACUUGCGAAAUAUUACCUAAUUUAGAGAUAAGUCAUUCCACUUCUUCUGAGAGAGUGAAGAAAGAGGCCAAGUUCAGAAUUGUACCAAUUGACUACCUUGACCUGGACAUAAGCACCAGAAUGGUUGUACUCAACAACAAAGACUGUACUGGGAAUAGAAAGAUGAACAAGACAGUGCAUUUUCCUUCAAAGAGCUUACAGAAUCACGGCCAGCAGGUAAAAUAGAACACAUCUCAGCUUAGAAUCUUAGACGCUCACCUGU